rnacentral:tRNA from 3 species
UGCCCCGUCGUUCAAUGGCAGGACCUCCGGCUUUGGACCGGAAGAUCGUGGUUCGAAUCCACGCGGGGCAA